rnacentral:tRNA from 1 species
AGAAAUUUAGGCUAACCAGACCACGGGCCUUCAAAGCCUCAAGUAGAAGUUAAAAUCUUCUAAUUUCUG